ensembl:misc_RNA Metazoa_SRP Metazoan signal recognition particle RNA
GCCGGGUGUGGUGGUGGGCACCUGUAAUCCCAGCUACUUGGGAGGCUGAGGCAGGAGAAUCACUUGAACCCAGGAGGCAGAGGUUGCAGUGAGCCGAGAUCGCACCACUGCACUCCAGCCUGGGCAAUGGAGUGAGACUCUGUCUCAA